rnacentral:rRNA from 1 species
UACUAGAGUAGCACUCGCAUAUCAAUAAGCGGAGGAAAAGAAACUAACAAGGAUUCCCCUAGUAACGGCGAGUGAAGCGGGAAGAGCUCAAAUUUGAAAUCUUAAAGGGUUUCCCUUUACGAAUUGUAGUUUAAAGAAGUGUUUUCUGUUGAGGUUUUGGUAAAAGUUCUUUGGAAUAGGACAUCAUAGAGGGUGAGAAUCCCGUAUUUGACCUUUACUUUCAACUUUGUGAUACACUUUCAAAGAGUCGGAUUGUUUGGGAAUGCAGUCCAAAAUGGGUGGUAAAUUUCAUCUAAAGCUAAAUAUUGGCGAGAGACCGAUAGCGAACAAGUACCGUGAGGGAAAGAUGAAAAGAACUUUGAAAAGAGAGUUAAACAGUAUGUGAAAUUGUCAAAAGGGAAGCGUUUAGACACCAGUGUUGUUUUUCUGAAAAUCAACCUCUUUAAGAACUGUUAUGCUAAGCUUGUUUAGACUUUAUCAGCUAAUCUGUUUAGUUUUGAGCUUUUCUUUAAUGCACUUUUCAGUUAACAAGUCAACAUCAAUUUCUUUUGCUGUAAAAAAGCUUGAGGAAGGUGGCUUGAGAUUCGUCUUAAGUGUUUAUAGCCUCUUGCCUAUGCAGUCGGAGAGAUUGAGGUCUGCAGCGUAGAUCCUUCGGGGCUAAAUGCAUUUGUGCUAAGUUAUAGCAUUUUAUAGACAACUUGUUGACUAUGAUUUGUCUUGUAGCUUACUCGCUUAUGUUAUUUUACCUACGCUUAGGAUGUUGAGUAGCGACAUACGCAC